UACGGGGGGGGCAAGCGUUGUUCGGAAUUACUGGGCGUAAAGGGCUCGUAGGCGGCCCUCUCAGUCGGAUGUGAAAUCCCCGGGCUUAACCUGGGAACUGCGCUUGUAACUGGCAAGCUUGAGUGUGGCAGAGGGGGGUGGAAUUCCGACGUGUAGCAGUGAAAUGCGUAGAGAUGUGGAGGAACACCGAUGGCGAAGGCAGCCCCCUGGGCUAACACUGACGCUCAUGCACGAAAGCGUGGGGAGCAAACAGG
rnacentral:rRNA from 1 species